GAUGAAGAACGUAGCGAAAUGCGAUACGUAAUGUGAAUUGCAGAUUUCAGUGAAUCAUCGAAUCUUUGAACGCACAUUGCGCCCGCUAGUAUUCUGGCGGGCAUGCCUGUUCGAGCGUCAUUUCAACCAUCAAGCCCUAGGCUUGCGUUGGAGCCCUGCGGCUGCCGCAGGCUCCCAAAUCCAGUGGCGGGCUCGUCGUCGUACCGAGUGCAGUAAACAUCCUCGCUCAGGGAACGUGACGGGUUCUUGCCGUGAAACCCCCCACAUAUCAAGGUUGACCUCGGACCAGGUAGGAAUACCCGCUGAACUUAAGCAUAUCAAUAAGCGGAGGA
rnacentral:misc_RNA from 1 species